rnacentral:sRNA from 1 species
GCUGGGCAUGGUGGCGCAUACCUGUAAUCCAAGCGGCUUGGGAAACCAAGGCAGGAGGAUCACAAGUUUGAGGCCAGCCUGGACAACUUUGCAAGAUCCUGUCUCAA